rnacentral:rRNA from 1 species
GACGAACGCUGGCGGCGUGCUUAACACAUGCAAGUCGAACGGUGACCUCGAGAGCUUGCUCUUGGGUGAUCAGUGGCGAACGAGUGAGUAACACGUGAGGAACCUGCCCCAGACUCUGGAAUAACCCCGGGAAACCGGAGCUAAUACCGGAUAUGACAUCAGGCCGCAUGGUCAUGGUGUGGAAAGUUUUUCGGUCUGGGAUGGGCCCGCGGCCUAUCAGCUUCUUGGUGGGGUGAUGGCCUACCAAGGCGACGACGGGUAGCCGGCCUGAGAGGGUGACCGGCCACACUGGGACUGAGAUACGGCCCAGACUCCUACGGGAGGCAGCAGUGGGGAAUAUUGCACAAUGGGCGCAAGCCUGAUGCAGCGACGCCGCGUGAGGGAUGACGGCCUUCGGGUUGUAAACCUCUUUCAGCACCGACGAAGCGCAAGUGACGGUAGGUGCAGAAGAAGGACCGGCCAACUACGUGCCAGCCGCCGCGGUAAGAC